GCCGCCAUCGCAUGCGCCCAUGCCGAUGCACCCGUUCCCGCACGCGCCGCCGCCGGUGCCUUUCGAGGAGUUCGGGGCCUGGCAGGGGUUUGGGCGUCGCCGGAGCACGGGGUUUGGGGGAAAGGAUACCGGUCCUCUGUGACUCUGAGGAUAGGAGGUUGUCUCCGCCGCGGCCAAAUCUGGAGCACAAGCUCAAGCUGCCGGGAGACCCGAGUUAUUUUCCAGAUCGCUUAGUUGUACGCGGGCGGCGCUCACGAUUUCUUGGUCUCCGGCGCCGGCGCCGGCUCUUGGUCGUCGGCAGCUGCGGCGUGAGCUCUUGUUCCUCCUCAGCAGUGCGGCCGGAUUGUACCUUUGAGAUGGCACGAUUCAGGCUGCUUACAGCUAUCGAAGAGCUGUGUUAGAUAUGUGAUGAAAUGGUGCUGCACAGGAUGUCGAUUCUAAUAACAGAAGCUAAGCAAGCCAAUUCAGCAUCAUCAUCAUCAUAUGGCUGCAUGUGUAUAUCUUGUCAAGACAUGCCAUCUCAGCAAACAAGUGCAGACUCAACCCUCUUCUGAACAUAUCAUCAGUUAGUGCUCUCCCUGUGAACACCUCCAGGCUCCAGCAGAGUGAUCCUAAAGCUGCAAGCAUCACCUGCAGUUGAUACAGAAAGGGUGAAAAAUCAUAACGACAUUUAGAAGCUCAGUAGGUUCCCUUGAAACUGAAUUCCUAUCCAAAUUAAUUGACGCAUCCUUAGUACAACUUUAGCACAAAGUUGUACUAAGUGUGCGUCAAUUAAUAUAGAUCAGAGGGAGUAGUAUUUUUUGUGUCUAGCAAUGUUAUGUUUGUCAACACGUGCAUUGCACGUGCAAAAUUACUAGUAUUUUUAGAUUAGAGAAUGCAAUGCAUACAUGUUUGUUCCAUGCCAGAAAGAUAUCUUAGGCUUUACGGGCUUGGAAUAGACCUUCAUCGCCCGGCUAGGCGAGGGGAGGCCUCCUUUCACUUCACCCUGUUUUGCCUAAAAGAUAACUUCACCCUGUUCGGUUCCUCCACUGCAACGACAGAGAAAGAAGCGGCGCCGGCGACCUGAGGCGCCUGUCCCCGGCGGCGGCCACCGACCGAUUGAUUGCUCCGCCUCCCAAUUUCACAGGCGGAGCUCAGCUCAUGGGACCGCGAAUCCUAUAGACGAUGGAUGCUGCCAAGAGAUUCUCCAGUGGUCAAAUUCUACGUACUUCACAUGGACGGCUUUGGGUUCCCCUGGGGAAAACCAAGGACAAAGCAGCGUCGGUGGAAGCGUUAAGGGAGCUUAAAGAUAUUCAUGCCGACGGUUGAUACUGCUAAUUAGGCUCCGGGUAAUAAAAACGGAGGGAGUACUAGUAUUUUACUAGGUUACAUGUGAGACUAUGUUUGACCCAGCCAUUCGGGGCUUUAUUUUAUAAGGCCGGGUGCCCCUUCCCUUACUGACAAGCUCUAUAGGAAUCAUCGCUAAAAAGGGAAUCAGUUACAUGGAAACGCACCUAACUGGAACCUCAAAUUUGUACAUAUGCUGAGUUUUUUUAAAGCAAUAGUUCUUGCUAGUCAUUUUGGACAAUAUGCUGAGUUGAUUCGUGAGAACAUUUCAUUUCUAUUACAGAGAUCUCUUUUCCUACUGGUGGGGAAAACAAAUGUGAGGUCAUUUUUCUUUUUUAGAUACAACCAUUGUUGCAAUUUACAGCAUAAAAAACUAUAGGUCUAGUUUGUUAUGGUUUGUAUUUGAAUAAAACGAUGCAUCCAAUUCAUCCCUCAAGU